GCAGUCGAACGAGAAAGCCUCUUCGGAGGUUAUUAAAGUGGCGCACGGGUGCGUAACACGUAGCUAACGUACCCUCUCGCUGGGGAUAACUCCGGGAAACCGGAGCUAAUACCGAAUAAUCUGAUACUUACUGCGGUAGGUAUCGGUAAAGCCUUCGGGCGCGAGAGGAUCGGGCUGCGGUCCAUUAGCUUGUUGGUGGGGUAACGGCCUACCAUGGCGACGAUGGGUAGCUGGUCUGAGAGGAUGAUCAGUCACACUGGCACUGGAACACGGGCCAGACUCCUACGGGAGGCAGCAGUUAGGAAUUUUGCGCAAUGGGGGAAACCCUGACGCAGCAACGCCGCGUGGGUGAGGAAGGCUUUCGGGUUGUAAAGCCCUUUCAGCAGGGAAGAAAAAAAUGACGGUACCUGCAGAAGAAGCACCGGCUAACUCCGUGCCAGCAGCCGCGGUAAUACGGAGGGUGCAAGCGUUAUUCGGAAUUAUUGGGCGUAAAGCGCACGUAGGCGGUUUGGUAAGUCUGAUGUGAAAGCCCACGACUUAAUCGUGGAAGUGCAUUGGAUACUGCCAGACUUGAGUACAGGAGGGGAGAACGGAAUUCCUGGUGGAGAGGUGAAAUU
rnacentral:rRNA from 1 species